rnacentral:rRNA from 1 species
AGAGUUUGAUCCUGGCUUAGGAUGAACGCUAGCUACAGGCUUAACACAUGCAAGUCGAGGGGCAGCAUAUCGGUAGCUUGCUACUGAUGAUGGCGACCGGCGCACGGGUGAGUAACGCGUAUCCAACCUUCCCCUUAGUAGGGCAUAGCCCGGCGAAAGUCGGAUUAAUACCCUAUGUUAUCCAGCGAUGGCAUCUGAAUUGGAUUAAAGGUUUACCGCUAAGGGAUGGGGAUGCGUCUGAUUAGGUUGUUGGCGGGGUAACGGCCCACCAAGCCAUCGAUCAGUAGGGGUUCUGAGAGGAAGGUCCCCCACAUUGGAACUGAGACACGGUCCAAACUCCUACGGGAGGCAGCAGUGAGGAAUAUUGGUCAAUGGGCGAGAGCCUGAACCAGCCAAAGUAGCGUGCAGGAAGACGGCCCUAUGGGUUGUAAACUGCUUUUAUACAGGGAUAAAGUCGGGGACGUGUCCCCGUUUGCAGGUACUGUAUGAAUAAGGACCGGCUAAUUCCGUGCCAGCCGCCGC